rnacentral:rRNA from 1 species
CGGCGCAUUAGCUAGUUGGUGAGGUAACGGCUCACCAAGGCAACGAUGCGUAGCCGACCUGAGAGGGUGAUCGGCCACACUGGGACUGAGACACGGCCCAGACUCCUACGGGAGGCAGCAGUAGGGAAUCUUCCGCAAUGGACGAAAGUCUGACGGAGCAACGCCGCGUGAGUGAUGAAGGUUUUCGGAUCGUAAAGCUCUGUUGUUAGGGAAGAACAAGUACCGUUCGAAUAGGGCGGUACCUUGACGGUACCUAACCAGAAAGCCACGGCUAACUACGUGCCAGCAGCCGCGGUAAUACGUAGGUGGCAAGCGUUGUCCGGAAUUAUUGGGCGUAAAGGGCUCGCAGGCGGUUUCUUAAGUCUGAUGUGAAAGCCCCCGGCUCAACCGGGGAGGGUCAUUGGAAACUGGGGAACUUGAGUGCAGAAGAGGAGAGUGGAAUUCCACGUGUAGCGGUGAAAUGCGUAGAGAUGUGGAGGAACACCAGUGGCGAAGGCGACUCUCUGGUCUGUAACUGACGCU